UGGGGAAUAUUGGGCAAUGGGGGAAGCCUGACCCAGCGACGCCGCGUGAGGGAAGAAGGUUUUCGGAUUGUAAACCUCUGUCCUUGGUGACGAUAAUGACGGUAGCCAAGGAGGAAGCCACGGCUAACUACGUGCCAGCAGCCGCGGUAAUACGUAGGUGGCGAGCGUUGUCCGGAAUUACUGGGUGUAAAGGGAGCGUAGGCGGGAGAGCAAGUCGACUGUGAAAGCUAUGGGCUUAACCCAUAGAUGCGAUCGAAACUGUUCAUCUUGAGUGAAGUAGAGGCAGGCGGAAUUCCUAGUGUAGCGGUGAAAUGCGUAAAUAUUAGGAGGAACACCAGUGGCGAAGGCGGCCUGCUGGGCUUUAACUGACGCUGAGGCUCGAGAGCGUGGGUAGCAAACAGGAUUAGAUACCC
rnacentral:rRNA from 1 species